GAAUGUGUUUCCAUAGUGUAUGAUCAGAUUAUCAUAGGUCUUUGGGACCCACUCUCGUACACACGUAGACUUUGGGCCGUGUACUAGGGUGAUUAGCCUUUGGGGUUGUUCUGUGUACGUAUGACCAGAUUAUCAGAUUACCAGAUUAUCAGAAUCUCAGAUUUGAAUAGCUCUGCCUUGUACAUCAAGAUUACUCUGUACAUGAGUAAGGUUAUUCAUUGGGUACCUUUUUGGUGUGAUUUUUCAGUAUUUUUACAGUUUAUCAAAUUUCAGAUUAUAGAAUUCAGUCUAUUCAGUUCUCAGAUUAAAACUUUCAGCUUAUAGUAUUGAUCAACAGCAAUAUUUCAUAGAUUUUCACGGAUGUCAUAUUAUUUAUAUUCGUUACAUUUUACAGUUAUUUAUCUAGA
rnacentral:lncRNA from 1 species